AACAAACGCUGGCGGCGUGUCUUAAGCAUGCAAGUUGAGCGGCAAGGAGGAGAGAUCCUCCCUAGAGCGGCGGACUGGUGAGUAACGCGUGGGUAAUCUAUCGUAGGCAUGGGGAUAGUCACUAGAAAUAGUGGGUAAUACCGAAUACGUUCCAUGAGGGGAGUACUUAUGGAAGAAAGGGUGCUACGGCACUGGCCUUAGGUGAGCUCGCGUCCCAUUAGCUAGUUGGUGAGGUAAAGGCCCACCAAGGCGAUGAUGGGUAGCCGGCCUGAGAGGGUGUACGGCCACACUGGGACUGAGAUACGGCCCAGACUCCUACGGGAGGCAGCAGCUAAGAAUAUUCCGCAAUGGACGGAAGUCUGACGGAGCGACGCCGCGUGAACGAUGAAUCCCUUCGGGGUGUAAAGUUCUUUUAUAUGUGAGCAGUGCUUCUUAUAUUAACAGUAUGGGGAGAGAGAUAUUAGCAUAUGAAUAAGCAACGGCUAACUCCGUG
rnacentral:rRNA from 1 species